rnacentral:rRNA from 1 species
GACGAACGCUGGCGGCGUGCCUAACACAUGCAAGUCGAACGGAACUUCUUUAAAGGAUUUCUUCGGAAUGAAUUUGAUUAAGUUUAGUGGCGGACGGGUGAGUAACGCGUGAGUAACCUGCCUCUGAGAGGGGAAUAACAUUCUGAAAAGAAUGCUAAUACCGCAUAAUAUAUAUUUAUCGCAUGGUAGAUAUAUCAAAGAUUUAUCGCUUAGAGAUGGACUCGCGUCCGAUUAGUUAGUUGGUGAGGUAACGGCUCACCAAGACCGCGAUCGGUAGCCGGACUGAGAGGUUGAACGGCCACAUUGGGACUGAGACACGGCCCAGACUCCUACGGGAGGCAGCAGUGGGGGAUAUUGCGCAAUGGGGGAAACCCUGACGCAGCAACGCCGCGUGAAGGAUGAAGGUCUUCGGAUUGUAAACUUCUUUUAUUAAGGACGAAGAAAGUGACGGUACUUAAUGAAUAAGCUCCGGCUAACUACGUG